AGUGAACGCUGGCGGUAGGCCUAACACAUGCAAGUCGAACGGCAGCACAGUAAGAGCUUGCUCUUACGGGUGGCGAGUGGCGGACGGGUGAGGAAUACAUCGUAAUCUACUUUUUCGUGGGGGAUAACGUAGGGAAACUUGCGCUAAUACCGCAUACGACCUACGGGUGAAAGCAGGGGAUCUUCGGACCUUGCGCGAUUGAAUGAGCCGAUGUCGGAUUAGCUAGUUGGCGGGGUAAAGGCCCACCAAGGCGACGAUCCGUAGCUGGUCUGAGAGGAUGGUCAGCCACACUGGAGCUGAGACACGGUCCAGACUCCUACGAGAGGCAGCAGUGUGGAAUAGUGGACAAUGGGCGCAAGCCUGAUCCAGCCAUACCGCGUGGGUGAAGAAGGCCUUCGGGUUGUAAAGCCCUUUUGUUGGGAGAGAAAAGCAGCAGGUUAAUACCACGCUGUUCUGACGGUACCCAAAGAAGAAGCACCGGCUAACUUCGUG
rnacentral:rRNA from 1 species